rnacentral:lncRNA from 1 species
UUAUUAGGUCUUUCCACCUUUCUGUGGAAAGACCUAUUGUAUUUCUUCUGAUUAUUAUUAUUUUUUUUUUUUUUUUUUUCUUCCGCCUAAUUUUGAUAUUGCGACAAAUGUUUGUUUCGCAAUAUGUUGCUUAGAUAUUUCUCAUAUUGUAUCGUACAGUUUAUGCGCUUUUACAUUUCACCCUGCUAAGCCGAACACUUUUCUUUGUAAGAGUUAUCUCCCUAUUCACUGUUUAUCAUCAGAGUGCAUCUCCUUCGUAACAAAAAAAGAUAGCGACAAAAUUCUUUUUACAAAUUGUUCGUUACAUCCUAAGGAAAAUUUGGCUUAUUUGGAUCGAAGCGAUUCGAUGAAAUUUUAUAGGAGUUAUCUACCUUUACAAAAUUAUUUUCUCAAUAUGUGUUAUUAACUAAUAAACCGUCAACCAUAUAACCCUGGAAUGUAUUUAUUUGAGAUCCCUAGGCCCUUUAUUAGAAAAUGGGGUCAAGGUCAAAGGUCAAGGUCAAGUUCUAAAUUCGGAAUUUUCCAUGUUUUUGCAUUUUCUCCAACCCUUGAAAAGGUAUAUAUUAAAGAACAAGUGCAAAAUGAUUGCUAUAUAGUUAUGAAGAUAUUUUACAUUUGGUCUGAUACAAUUAAAUAGCAUCUAAUAGGAGUUAGUGCCCCUGAAAUGUCUUGAUAUGAGGUUAUUUGAUUAUAACUUCAACUAAGUGCAUUUUAAUGGCAUUUGACCUUGUGCAAAAGGUUGGAUGACAAAUGACCUUGAAAAAUGACUACCGGAAGUGACCUUGAGAAAACCGGAAGUAACCUUCUUUGCAAUUUUUUCGUAUAAAAGUACUCAAAAUCCAUAUAUUUUGUCAUAUAGAUACAUAAACUGAUUACUGAAGACUAAAAAAUGAUUCCAACAAACCGGAAGUGACCAUGUAUCUCCCAUUCUAAAUACAAAAGUAUAUAGAAACUAUAUAUUUUUGGAAUCAGUGUGAAAGAAG